CCCCUGGGCUGAAGCCUUUUCACUUCCUCCCAGUCUAUCCCCACCUUGGAGCUGGCACAGCGGGUCAUUAGAACUGGAAUGUUCUCCGUAGAAAAUCCGGAAAGAGCACACGAGAACGAGAGUUCGUGCUAUUUUGGCGUUUCCUCGUCAGGCACUAAUGCAGAGGAAUCUUAAAUGGAUCGACGCCGGUCCCACGGUUCUUUCCCGGCUCCUGGGCCUGGUGAGAAGAGGUGUGAGCAUUUCUGGUCUCUCCGUGGCAAGGAUCCCCACGUUCAGAGCAAGAUCCUGGUGACCCAGGGGCCCAGGACCUGCCUGCGCCCUGAGGCUGCGGGCCAGCCUCCAGAAGGAAUGCAGACCCGCCAACCCCUUGAUUUGAGAUCCACUUAGACUUCUGACCUCCAGAAAUGCAAGGCGUGGCAUUUUUUGCUGCGAAAAUGGCAAGACUGUGGGAAGGUUGCACUUUCACUAAAGGGACGUGUCGUCUCCAGCUGAAUAUUUUCUAGACCAAGCCUUCUAAUGGGAAAUAAUGCUUGUGCUAAUUCCUGUAGAAUUAACUCCCUGGCCACAUAAUUCUCCAAACUGGCCUAAUGUGCAGCUGGCAUGUCCCCAAACGUGGACGAAUUCCCUUUGGCUGUGGCGUCAAAGUAGAGGUUUCAAAUUAGGCUGUGGAGUCUCCUGGGACGGGAAGGAAAUGAGGACUCAAGACAGGUUCACGUCACUCUGAGCUCUGCGGCCCCUUCUCCCUUCUCGCCCAACCAGCAAGGGUGCCCUAAGAGCUGCGGAAACCCAUCGAGUGCUCUCUCUCAGCCCCGCGCACGGAAAGACACUUGAGGGAAGCAAGUGUCUCAUCCCUGGUGACAAGGGCUUUUCCUGCCAGCGUGAAACCCGAAACCCGACGCCAGCCAAGGACGACGGCACGCUAACUGAUAAUGUGUAAAUAACUUCAAAUCCACUUCAACUUGCGGUUCAGAAAGGAGCUGCCCUGCAAUGAGGGGCCGUGAAACGUGAUUACAGCAGAGAAACCAGCCCAGAAAUGGGCAAGGAGACGGUUCUCGCAAGCUCGUAGGAAAAGUGGGUGUGCUGUUCAACAAACGGGCGAAGGGUUAGUCCCAAGAGGACAAAUUUAGCAAGUAAGCAUAUUCUACACACACUCCACCAAAAGUAAAGUUCAAUGUCACUAGUAAACAAAGAAAUACAAACACUG